UUUUUGGAGAGUUUGAUCCUGGCUCAGGACGAACGCUGGCGGCGUGCUUAACACAUGCAAGUCGAACGGAAAGGCCCGCAUCAUUUUUUUGGUGGGGGUGCUCGAGUGGCGAACGGGUGAGUAACACGUGGGUGAUCUGCCCUGUACUUCGGGAUAAGCUUGGGAAACUGGGUCUAAUACCGGAUAGGACCAUGGUUUAGUGUCUCAUGGUGGAAAGAUUAUUGUUUUGGUGCAGGAUGAGCUCGCGGCCUAUCAGCUUGUUGGUGGGGUAAUGGCCUACCAAGGCGUCGACGGGUAGCCGGCCUGAGAGGGUGGACGGCCACAUUGGGACUGAGAUACGGCCCAGACUCCUACGGGAGGCAGCAGUGGGGAAUAUUGCACAAUGGGCGCAAGCCUGAUGCAGCGACGCCGCGUGGGGGAUGACGGCCUGGUUGUAACUCCUUUCGUUAGG
rnacentral:ncRNA from 1 species